GACGUAGGGGGCGAGCGUUGUCCGGAAUCAUUGGGCGUAAAGAGCGCGUAGGCGGCCCGGAAAGUCGGAUGUGAAAACCUGGGGCUCAACCCCAGGCCUGCAUCCGAUACUCCCGGGCUCGAGGCAGGUAGGGGAGAUCGGAAUUCCUGGUGUAGCGGUGAAAUGCGCAGAUAUCAGGAAGAACACCGGAGGCGAAGGCGGGUUGCUGGGCCGACACUGACGCUGAGGCGCGAAAGCCAGGGGAGCGAACGGG
rnacentral:rRNA from 1 species